UUUUUUUUUUUUUUCUUUCGAAACGGUCUCACUCUGUCACCCAGGCUGGAGUGCAGUGGUGCAAUCUUGACUCAUUGCAACCUCCGCCUCCAGGGUUCGGGCAAUUCUUGUGCCUCAGCCUCCCAAGUAGCUGGGAUUACAGGCGUGCCCAGCUAACUUCUGUAUUUUUAGUAAAGAUGGUAUUUCACCAGGCUGGCCAGGCUGGCCUUGAACUCCUGGCCUCAAGUGAUCUGCCUGCCUUGGCCUCUCAAAGUACUGAGAUUACAGGUGUGAGCCACCAUGCCCGGCCAGAAAAUGAUGAUCUCUCUAAACAUAAACGAGUAGUUUGUCUGUUUUGAGAGGAAGAAAACCAGGGCCCAGAGAGGCUGAGUGACUCGGCCCAUAUCACACAGCCAUAGAGCUGGCUAGUAAGAGACAGAAGGAGAACCGAGUCUUCUGACCCUGCAGCUCUGCUGCGGGUGAUGGAGAGAACUAGGGGGAUGAGAGAGAGGGAGAGAAGUUUCAGUGUGAGAAUGACCACGCAUACGUGUUUGUGUGUGUGUGUAGUGGAAACAGUGUGAGCCUUUGAGGUAGAAGGAAAAGUAGUUGGGCCCCUGGAAGUUCCACCUGCACUCUGAGUGUGGAAAGAUGAGAGUGAGCAAGUGUGACGGUAGCGUGUGAGUGUGCACGAGGAGAUGAGUGCAGGAGUGAGGAAAUCCGAGUGCUGAGAGAGAGAGGUGGGGAAGAGGAGAAACAUUUGGGCCAUUUUCAAAUUCCCACAGUAGAAUAAAUCAAAACAGAUUGUUCCGAGACACAGGCCAUUUCAAACCACAUCCUUUAUACCAAAGUCAACCCAAAUGGCUUCCCCUGAUGCUGCCUCGUAACCAGUCAUAAUGGCAACAGUCAUAUUCGCGAUCAUAUUUAAGAUUCCUGAGCAACAACGAGGCUCAGUACAAAUAGUCCCUCCUCGUAGCAGCACUAAGAGGCUGCUACGAUUCACACCCAUUUUCCAGAUAAGGCUGAGUCUUAGAGGAGGGAAGUCCCUUGGUCCCCACAUCUCCCUGCCCAAGGGAUAUCUGGGAUUAAAAAAAGGCGAGAAGGCAGCUGAGAUCCAAGCUGCGAGCUCCUUGCUGAAGUUCUGUGCCCCAGAGAGCUGUCUCUUUUAGGCAGGGCUGCUCUCGGCUGCUGCAGGCAGGAUGGAGAAAAGACGCCAGGGAGCUGGCAUGUUCCUAGUUGCCGGUUGCCCCACAAGGCAAAGCAGAUGCUCGCCUGUGGGAGAGCCUGGUGCUGUGGCCAGCAGAAUCAGCUGCUUGGGAGCUACAGCCACCACUUCGCCUGGGCCUCUAGCCCUGACCAGUCAGAGAAAGGCCUCAUUCUUCAGUGCCAGCUGGCUGGGGACACAGGGCUGGGCCAGUGAGGAGGGAACUGCCAGGGCCCCAAGAAUGGGUUUCCCACAUCUCACCCUGACAUGAGCAACGGGAAGGCUGGGUCCAGGUGACUCCUCCCCAAGAACUGAGUCUUCCUUCCUGACAGGCACAAGGGGUAGCACCAGGCAAGCAGUGGGGAAAGUGGGCAAAUGAAGCUCUGCUGGGCAUCUCUGCUGCCCAGGCAC
ensembl:lncRNA